rnacentral:misc_RNA from 1 species
AAAAAAUAUCCAAUGGUACUUGCCUAUACAAGAGCAAUGAAAAGUUCCCGUGUGCAGAUGCAAAUGGAAAACUAAUUCCAAUACCCUCGGAAACAAGCCAGCCAAAAAGACAAGGAGGACCGAAAAGGAAGCUAGAAAUAGGUCUCACAUGCCUUGCUGCCGCCACUGUGAUUGUGUUGUUCAUAAUCUCCAUUUGGUAUCGAUAUAAGAGAAAGGAUGCUCCCUCAAACACUCUCUCAGCAAUUACUUCAUCCAAUCUCUCCCCAAAAUCAGACCUGGAAGAAGACAAUGUCUACUUUGAGGUCCCUAUUUUCUCCUACACUCAGCUUGAAGAAGCAACUAAUAACUUUGAUCCAGAAAAGGAGCUUGGAAAUGGAGGCUUUGGGUCUGUAUACUAUGGAAAACUACAUGAUGGGAGGGAGGUUGCCGUCAAGCGCCUAUAUGAGCAUGACUACAGAAGGUUUCAGCAGUUCAUGAAUGAAAUAAAAAUUCUCACACGCCUUCGCCACAAAAAUCUUGUCUCUCUUUAUGGGUGCACUUCACGCCGCAGCCGUGAGCUCCUCCUUGUCUAUGAAUACAUCCCCAAUGGCACCGUUGCUGAUCAUCUCCAUGGUAAUGGAAUCCACUCUAGUCCACUAACUUGGCCAAUUCGUAUGAGGAUUGCUAUAGAAACAGCUAGCGCUUUGGCUUAUCUCCAUGCUUCCGAUAUCAUUCAUCGGGAUGUGAAAACUAAUAACAUUCUCCUUGACAACAAUUACCAUGUCAAAGUUGCAGAUCUUGGGCUUUCCAGGUUGUUCCCCACUGAUGCCACCCAUGUCUCAACUGCUCCGCAAGGGACUCCUGGCUAUGUUGAUCCUGAAUAUCACCAAUUUUACCAGCUAACUAAUAAGAGCGAUGUCUACAGCUUUGGUGUCGUCCUUAUUGAACUCAUAUCAUCAAUGCCUGCUGUUGACAUGACUAGGCAUCGGCAUGAGAUUAAU